UUGACUGCUCUGGGGACCAGAACUUGAGAUUUCUCUGCAAAGCAGAGCGUAGACAACAAUGAAGGUUUUAACUCUGGUUGCCCAGUCUCUGUCACUGAGCCUCAGCCCUGCCCUGCUGGGGCCACCAGCUCCGGGUGGAAGAGCAAUUUGGUCUCCCCUUGACUUAAUCCUUGCCUGUCUGCA
rnacentral:sRNA from 1 species